GACGGAGGAUGCAAGCGUUAUCCGGAAUUAUUGGGCGUAAAGCGUCCGCAGGUGGCUAGUCAAGUCUGCUGUCAAAGCGCGGAGCUUAACUUCGUAAAGGCAGUGGAAACUGACUAGCUAGAGCAUGGUAGGGGUAGAGGGAAUUCCCGGUGUAGCGGUGAAAUGCGUAGAGAUCGGGAAGAACACCAGUGGCGAAAGCGCUCUACUGGGCCAUGACUGACACUGAGGGACGAAAGCUAGGGGAGCGAAAGGG
rnacentral:rRNA from 1 species